ACGUAGGAGGCAAGCGUUAUCCGGAGUUACUGGGCGUAAAGGGCGUGCAGGCGGUUGGCUAAGUUCGUUGUGAAAGCACCCGGCUUAACCGGGGGAGGCCGCGUCCGACUGCGCGACUGGAGGUGGGUAGAGGCGUGUGGAAUUCCGGGUGUAGUGGUGAAAUGCGUAGAGAUCCGGAGGAACACCAGAGGCGAAGGCGACACCCUGGGCCGUACCUGACGCUAAGACGCGACAGCACGGGGAGCGAACGG
rnacentral:rRNA from 1 species